AGAUUGAACGCUGGCGGCAUGCCUUACACAUGCAAGUCGAACGGCAGCACGGGAGCAAUCCUGGUGGCGAGUGGCGAACGGGUGAGUAAUACAUCGGAACGUGCCCAGUAGUGGGGGAUAACCCGGCGAAAGCCGGACUAAUACCGCAUACGACCUACGGGUGAAAGCAGGGGAUCGCAAGACCUUGCGUUAUUGGAGCGGCCGAUGUCAGAUUAGCUUGUUGGCGGGGUAAAAGCCCACCAAGGCGACGAUCUGUAGCUGGUCUGAGAGGACGACCAGCCACACUGGGACUGAGACACGGCCCAGACUCCUACGGGAGGCAGCAGUGGGGAAUUUUUGGACAAUGGGCGCAAGCCUGAUCCAGCCAUGCCGCGUGCGGGAGAAGGUUUUCGGAUCGUAAACUGCUUUUCUCGGGGAAGAGAACGGACGGUACCCGAGGAAUCAGCCCCGGCUAACUACGUGCCAGCAGCCGC
rnacentral:rRNA from 1 species